UACGUAGGUGGCAAGCGUUGUCCGGAAUUAUUGGGCGUAAAGCGCGCGCAGGCGGUCCUUUAAGUCUGAUGUGAAAGCCCACGGCUCAACCGUGGAGGGUCAUUGGAAACUGGAGGACUUGAGUACAGAAGAGGAGAGUGGAAUUCCACGUGUAGCGGUGAAAUGCGUAGAUAUGUGGAGGAACACCAGUGGCGAAGGCGGCUCUCUGGUCUGUAACUGACGCUGAGGCGCGAAAGCGUGGGGAGCAAACAGG
rnacentral:rRNA from 1 species